rnacentral:rRNA from 1 species
AUUGAACGCUGGCGGCAUGCUUUACACAUGCAAGUCGAACGGCAGCACGGGGGCAACCCUGGUGGCGAGUGGCGAACGGGUGAGUAACACAUCGGAACGUGCCCAGUUGUGGGGGAUAACCUAUCGAAAGGUAGGCUAAUACCGCAUGAGCUCGGCAAGAGGAAAGCGGGGGACUCAGCGAUGGGCCUCGCGCGACUGGAGCGGCCGAUGUCCGAUUAGCUAGUGGUGGGGUAAAGGCUUACCAAGGCGACGAUCGGUAGCUGGUCUGAGAGGAUGAUCAGCCACACUGGGACUGAGACACGGCCCAGACUCCUACGGGAGGCAGCAGUGGGGAAUUUUGGACAAUGGGGCAACCCUGAUCCAGCCAUGCCGCGUGAGUGAAGAAGG